UACGGGGGGAGCAAGCGUUGUUCGGAUUUACUGGGCGUAAAGAGCGCGCAGGCGGUCGAUCAAGUCGAGUGUGAAACGCCCCCGGCUCAACUGGGGAGGGUCAUUCGAUACUGAUCGACUCGAAGGCAGGAGAGGGUAGUGGAAUUCCCGGUGUAGUGGUGAAAUGCGUAGAUAUCGGGAAGAACACCCGUGGCGAAGGCGGCUCUCUGGGACGGUACUGACGCUGAGACGCGAAAGCGUGGGGAGCGAACAGG
rnacentral:rRNA from 1 species